CCUGCGGAGGGAUCAUUACCGAGUUAUUCAACUCAUCAACCCUGUGAACAUACCUAAACGUUGCUUCGGCGGGAACAGACGGCCCCGUGAAACGGGCCGCCCCCGCCAGAGGACCCCUAACUCUGUUUCUAUAAUGUUUCUUCUGAGUAAAACAAGCAAAUAAAUUAAAACUUUCAACAACGGAUCUCUUGGCUCUGGCAUCGAUGAAGAACGCAGCGAAAUGCGAUAAGUAAUGUGAAUUGCAGAAUUCAGUGAAUCAUCGAAUCUUUGAACGCACAUUGCGCCCGCCAGUAUUCUGGCGGGCAUGCCUGUUCGAGCGUCAUUACAACCCUCAGGCCCCCGGGCCUGGCGUUGGGGAUCGGCGGAGCCCCCCGUGGGCACACGCCGUCCCCCAAAUACAGUGGCGGUCCCGCCGCAGCUUCCAUCGCGUAGUAGCUAACACCUCGCGACUGGAGAGCGGCGCGGCCACGCCGUAAAACACCCAACUCUUCUGAAGUUGACCUCGAAUCAGGUAGGAAUACCCGCUGAACUUAAGCAUAUC
rnacentral:rRNA from 1 species